rnacentral:rRNA from 1 species
GAUGAACGCUGGCGGCGUGCUUAACACAUGCAAGUCGAACGAUGAAGCCCAGCUUGCUGGGUGGAUUAGUGGCGAACGGGUGAGUAACACGUGCGUAACCUGCCCUUGACUCUGGGAUAAGCCUGGGAAACUGGGUCUAAUACCGGAUAGGAACGUCCACCGCAUGGUGGGUGUUGGAAAGAUUUAUCGGUCAUGGAUGGACUCGCGGCCUAUCAGCUUGUUGGUGAGGUAAUGGCUCACCAAGGCGACGACGGGUAGCCGGCCUGAGAGGGUGACCGGCCACACUGGGACUGAGACACGGCCCAGACGCCUACGGGAGGCAGCAGUGGGGAAUAUUGCACAACGGGCGAAAGCCUGAUGCAGCGACGCCGCGUGAGGGAUGACGGCCUUCGGGUUGUAAACCUCUUUCAGUAGGGAAGAAGCGAAAGUGACGGUACCUGCAGAAGAAGCACCGGCUAACUACGUG